rnacentral:rRNA from 1 species
CCUACGGGUGGCAGCAGUGAGGAAUAUAGGUCAAUGGACGAGAGUCUGAACCAGCCAAGUAGCGUGAAGGAUGACUGCCCUAUGGGUUGUAAACUUCUUUUAUAUGGGAAUAAAACGUUCCACGUGUGGGAUUUUGUAUGUACCAUAUGAAUAAGGAUCGGCUAACUCCGUGCCAGCAGCCGCGGUAAUACGGAGGAUCCGAGCGUUAUCCGGAUUUAUUGGGUUUAAAGGGAGCGUAGGUGGAUUGUUAAGUCAGUUGUGAAAGUUUGCGGCUCAACCGUAAAAUUGCAGUUGAAACUGGCAGUCUUGAGUACAGUAGAGGUGGGCGGAAUUCGUGGUGUAGCGGUGAAAUGCUUAGAUAUCACGAAGAACUCCGAUUGCGAAGGCAGUUCACUGGACUGCAACUGACACUGAGGCUCGAAAGUGUGGGUAUCAAACAGGAUUAGAUACCCUAGUAGUC